rnacentral:rRNA from 1 species
AUUGAACGCUGGCGGCAUGCCUUACACAUGCAAGUCGAACGGUAACAGGGAGCUUGCUCCGCUGACGAGUGGCGAACGGGUGAGUAAUGUAUCGGAACGUACCUUUCAGUGGGGGAUAACGUAGCGAAAGUUACGCUAAUACCGCAUAUUCUGUGAGCAGGAAAGCAGGGGAUCGCAAGACCUUGCGCUGAUUGAGCGGCCGAUAUCAGAUUAGCUAGUUGGUGAGGUAAAGGCUCACCAAGGCGACGAUCUGUAGCGGGUCUGAGAGGAUGAUCCGCCACACUGGAACUGAGACACGGUCCAGACUCCUACGGGAGGCAGCAGUGGGGAAUUUUGGACAAUGGGGGCAACCCUGAUCCAGCCAUGCCGCGGGAGUGAAGAAGGCCUUCGGGUUGUAAAGCUCUUUCGGCCGGGAAGAAAUCGCAUGGGUUAAUACCCUGUGCGGAUGACGGUACCGGCAUAAGAAGCACCGGCUAACUACGUGCCAGCAGCCGCCGUAAAAC